UACGUAGGGUGCAAGCGUUGUCCGGAAUUAUUGGGCGUAAAGAGCUCGUAGGCGGUCUGUCACGUCGGACGUGAAAAUCCAGGGCUCAACCCUGGACCUGCGUUCGAUACGGGCAGACUAGAGUUCGGUAGGGGAGACUGGAAUUCCUGGUGUAGCGGUGGAAUGCGUAGAGAUCCGGAAGAACACCGGUGGCGAAGGCGGUCUGCUGGGCAGUAGCUGACACUGAGGCGCGACAGCGUGGGGAGCAAACAGG
rnacentral:rRNA from 1 species